rnacentral:rRNA from 1 species
UACAUGGGGUGCAAACGUUGCUCGGAAUUAUUGGGCGUAAAGCGCACGUAGGCGGUUUGCUAAGUCGGAUGUGAAAUCCCUCGGCUCAACUGAGGAAGUGCAUCCGAAACUGGCAGGCUUGAGUACUAAAGAGGGUCGCGGAAUUCCCGGUGUAGAGGUGAAAUUCGUAGAUAUCGGGAGGAACACCGGUGGCGAAGGCGGCGACCUGGGUAGAUACUGACGCUGAGGCGCGAAAGCUAGGGGAGCAAACGGG